rnacentral:rRNA from 1 species
AACGAACGCUGGCGGCAUGCCUAACACAUGCAAGUCGAACGAAGGCUUCGGCCUUAGUGGCGCACGGGUGCGUAACGCGUGGGAACCUGCCCUUUGGUUCGGAAUAACCAGGAGAAAUUCUGGCUAAUACCGGAUGAUGUCGAAAGACCAAAGAUUUAUCGCCAUAGGAUGGGCCCGCGUAGGAUUAGCUAGUUGGUGAGGUAAAGGCUCACCAAGGCGGCGAUCCUUAGCUGGUCUGAGAGGAUGAUCAGCCACACUGGGACUGAGACACGGCCCAGACUCCUACGGGAGGCAGCAGUGGGGAAUAUUGGACAAUGGGCGAAAGCCUGAUCCAGCAAUGCCGCGUGAGUGAUGAAGGCCUUAGGGUUGUAAAGCUCUUUUACCCGGGAUGAUAAUGACAGUACCGGGAGAAUAAGCCCCGGCUACUCCGUGCCAGCCGCCGCGGUAA